rnacentral:rRNA from 1 species
GAUCAUGGCUCAGGAUGAACGCUAGCGACAGGCUUAACACAUGCAAGUCGAGCGGCAGCAUGAUUUGUAGCAAUACAGAUUGAUGGCGACCGGCGCACUGGUGAGUAACGCGUAUGCAACUUACCUAUCAGAGGGGGGAUAGCCCGGCGAAAGUCGGAUUAAUACCCCAUAAAACAGGGGUCCCGCAUGGGAAUAUUUGUUAAAAGAUUCAUCGCUGAUAGAUAGGCA